UCAGGCCUAACACAUGCAAGUCGAACGGUAACGCGGGGCAACCUGGCGACGAGUGGCGAACGGGUGAGUAAUGUAUCGGAACGUGCCCAGUAGUGGGGGAUAGCCCGGCGAAAGCCGGAUUAAUACCGCAUGAGACCUAUGGGUGAAAGCGGGGGAUCGCAAGACCUCGCGCUAUUGGAGCGGCCGAUAUCAGAUUAGGUAGUUGGUGGGGUAAAGGCCUACCAGGCCGACGAUCUGUAGCUGGUCUGAGAGGACGACCAGCCACACUGGGACUGAGACACGGCCCAGACUCCUACGGGAGGCAGCAGUGGGGAAUUUUGGACAAUGGGCGCAAGCCUGAUCCAGCCAUGCCGCGUGCGGGAAGAAGGCCUUCGGGUUGUAAACCGAUUGUGUCAGGGAAGAAAUCUUCUGGGCUAAUACCUCGGGAGG
rnacentral:rRNA from 1 species